AUGGUGCUUGAUCAUUUGACUCUUUUUAUAAAACUCACAGCAGCUAGAUGUCUACUGACAGUGCAGGAGGUUUUUGUACGGCCUCUCAAUGAGUUUGUAUCACAGUGGUACACUUUUGGUGGAGGAACCAAACUCAUCGUUGACUUGGGUGUGUUGCGGCCCACCCUGACCGUCCUCCCCCCCUCCAAAGAGCAGCAGCAGCAGAGCAGCGUCACUCUGGUGUGUCUGGCCAGCGGGGGCUUCCCCUCCACCUGGAGGCUGGGCUGGAAGGUGGGGGGCAGCAGCAGGUCCUCAGGGGUGUCUAGCAGCCUGGAGGUGCUGGGGGGGGACGGCCGCUACAGCUGGAGCAGCACCCUGAGCCUCCCUGCUGACCAGUGGAGGAAGGCGGGCUCAGUGAGCUGUGAGGCCAAUCAGAGUGGACAGAGUCCUGUCACUCAAACCCUGGAGCCUGACCGCUGCUCAGAGUAGAGCUGCAGCUUCAUGGCUGGAAACCAUCAUGCUGUCAUGUUUUAUUCACAAUCAUUACUUUUCACCUUUCAUUCGUCUUCCUUGUGUUUCUCAUGUAACUUGGAGUAAAUGGAUUGUUUCAAUAAAACUGCAGAUUUAUGAGAA